rnacentral:rRNA from 1 species
CCUUACCUGGUCUUGACAUAUCUAGAAUCCUGCAGAGAUGCGGGAGUGCCUUCGGGAAUUAGAAUACAGGUGCUGCAUGGCUGUCGUCAGCUCGUGUCGUGAGAUGUUGGGUUAAGUCCCGCAACGAGCGCAACCCUUGUCCUUAGUUACCAGCGGGUUAAGCCGGGAACUNUAAGGAUACNGCCAGUGACAAACUGGAGGAAGGCGGGGACGACGUCAAGUCAUCAUGGCCCUUACGACCAGGGCUACACACGUGCUACAAUGGUAGGUACAGAGGGCAGCUACACAGCGAUGUGAUGCGAAUCUCAAAAAGCCUAUCGUAGUCCAGAUUGGAGUCUGCAACUCGACUCCNUGAAGUAGGAAUCGCUAGUAAUCGCGGAUCAGAAUGCCGCGGUGAAUACGUUCCCGGGCCUUGUACACACCGCCCGUCACACCAUGGGAGUUGAUUGCACCAGAAGUGGUUAGCCGAACCUCAGGACGGCGAUC